AUUUUACUCCCUCCGUUCGGAAUUACUUGUCGUAGAAAUGGAUGUAUCUAGAAAAUACAUCUAGAUACAUCCAUUUCUACGACAAGUAAUUUCGAACGGAGGGAGUACUUG
rfam:Triticum aestivum genome assembly, contig: Triticum_aestivum_CS42_TGACv1_scaffold_576892_7BL